rnacentral:rRNA from 1 species
GACGUAGGGCGCGAGCGUUGUCCGGAUUUAUUGGGCGUAAAGAGCUCGUAGGCGGCUCGUUGCGUCGGCUGUGAAAACCCGCAGCUCAACUGUGGGCUUGCAGCCGAUACGGGCGGGCUGGGAUUCGGUAGGGGAGACUGGAAUUCCUGGUGUAGCGGUGAAAUGCGCAGAUAUCAGGAGGAACACCAAUGGCGAAGGCAGCACUCUGGGACGUGACUGACGCUGAGGCGCGACAGCGUGGGGAGCAAACAGG